rnacentral:rRNA from 1 species
UGGGGAAUUUUGGACAAUGGGCGAAAGCCUGAUCCAGCAAUGCCGCGUGUGUGAAGAAGGCCUUCGGGUUGUAAAGCACUUUUGUCCGGAAAGAAAUCCUUGGCUCUAAUACAGUCGGGGGAUGACGGUACCGGAAGAAUAAGCACCGGCUAACUACGUGCCAGCAGCCGCGGUAAUACGUAGGGUGCAAGCGUUAAUCGGAAUUACUGGGCGUAAAGCGUGCGCAGGCGGUUUGCUAAGACCGAUGUGAAAUCCCCGGGCUCAACCUGGGAACUGCAUUGGUGACUGGCAGGCUAGAGUAUGGCAGAGGGGGGUAGAAUUCCACGUGUAGCAGUGAAAUGCGUAGAGAUGUGGAGAAUACCGAUGGCGAAGGCAGCCCCCUGGGCCAAUACUGACGCUCAUGCACGAAAGCGUGGGGAGCAAACAGGAUUAGAUACCCUGGUAGUCCACGCCCUAAACGAUGUCAACUAGUUGUUGGGGAUUCAUUCCUUAGUAACGUAGCUAACGCGUGAAGUUGACCGCCUGGGGAGUACGGUCGCAAGAUUAAAACUUAAAUGAAUUG